rnacentral:sRNA from 1 species
UGUCGGAAUGAAAGCAGAGGUUGUGCAGAGCAGUUAACGCUGGGACAUCUGCUGGUGCAUUUAAAAAAUGAUUGCCAUUUUGAAGAACUUCCAUGUGUGCGUCCUGACUGCAAAGAAAAGGUCUUGAGGAAAGACCUGCGAGACCACGUGGAGAAGGCGUGUAAAUAUCGGGAAGCCACGUGCAGCCACUGCAAGAGUCAGGUUCCGAUGAUCGCGCUGCAGGUGCGGGUCCUCCCAUUCCACAGGCCUUCCACUCAAUUCCUAUAUGAUACAUUCCACAGGCCUUCCGCUCAAUUCGUAGAUAAUCCGUUCCACAGGCCUUCCCUCAACUCAUAGAUAAUCUGUUCCACAGGCCUUCCGCUCAGUUUGUAGAU